rnacentral:tRNA from 1 species
AGCCCSGGCACUUUUAGGGUGCUUCUCUAAAUUUGCAUUUUAG